rnacentral:rRNA from 1 species
GCUCAGGACGAACGCUGGCGGCGUGCUUAACACAUGCAAGUCGAACGAUGAACCAGGAGCUUGCUCUUGGGGAUUAGUGGCGAACGGGUGAGUAACACGUGAGUAACCUGCCCUUGACUCUGGGAUAAGCGUUGGAAACGACGUCUAAUACCGGAUACGAGCUUCCACCGCAUGGUGAGUUGCUGGAAAGAAUUUUGGUCAAGGAUGGACUCGCGGCCUAUCAGCUUGUUGGUGAGGUAACGGCUCACCAAGGCGACGACGGGUAGCCGGCCUGAGAGGGUGACCGGCCACACUGGGACUGAGACACGGCCCAGACUCCUACGGGAGGCAGCAGUGGGGAAUAUUGCACAAUGGGCGAAAGCCUGAUGCAGCAACGCCGCGUGAGGGACGACGGCCUUCGGGUUGUAAACCUCUUUUAGCAGGGAAGAAGCGAAAGUGACGGUACCUGCAGAAAAAGCACCGGCUAACUACGUGCCAGCAGCCGCGGUAAUACGUAGGGUGCAAGCGUUGUCCGGGAUUAUUGGGCGUAAGAGCUCGUAGGCGGUUUGUCGCGUCUGCUGUGAAAUCCCGAGGCUCAACCUCGGGUCUGCAGUGGGUACGGGCAGACUAGAGUGCGGUAGGGGAGAUUGGAAUUCCUGGUGUAGCGGUGGAAUGCGCAGAUAUCAGGAGGAACACCGAUGGCGAAGGCAGAUCUCUGGGCCGCUACUGACGCUGAGGAGCGAAAGGGUGGGGAGCAAACAGGCUUAGAUACCCUGGUAGUCCACCCCGUAAACGUUGGGCGCUAGAUGUGGGGACCAUUCCACGGUUUCCGUGUCGUAGCUAACGCAUUAAGCGCCCCGCCUGGGGAGUACGGCCGCAAGGCUAAAACUCAAAGGAAUUGACGGGGGCCCGCACAAGCGGCGGAGCAUGCGGAUUAAUUCGAUGCAACGCGAAGAACCUUACCAAGGCUUGACAUAUACGAGAACGGGCCAGAAAUGGUCAACUCUUUGGACACUCGUAAACAGGUGGUGCAUGGUUGUCGUCAGCUCGUGUCGUGAGAUGUUGGGUUAAGUCCCGCAACGAGCGCAACCCUCGUUCUAUGUUGCCAGCACGUUAUGGUGGGAACUCAUGGGAUACUGCCGGGGUCAACUCGGAGGAAGGUGGGGACGACGUCAAAUCAUCAUGCCCCUUAUGUCUUGGGCUUCACGCAUGCUACAAUGGCCAGUACAAAGGGCUGCAAUACCGUAAGGUGGAGCGAAUCCCAAAAAGCUGGUCCCAGUUCGGAUUGAGGUCUGCAACUCGACCUCAUGAAGUCGGAGUCGCUAGUAAUCGCAGAUCAGCAACGCUGCGGUGAAUACGUUCCCGGGCCUUGUACACACCGCCCGUCAAGUCAUGAAAGUCGGUAACACCCGAAGCCAGUGGCCUAACCGCAAGGAUGGAGCUGUCUAANUGGGAUCGGUAAUUAGGACUA